GUCUUAGGUAAAAUUUAUUUACCCAGAUAGCCAAGCCUGUCGAAAGCAGAUUAUGCCAAAUGUCUGCUAUCAAUUGUUGUCAACAAAAAGAUUGCAAAUAUGAUGCAGAAGUUGAUAUUAUCGAUUAAGAUCACAAAUUGGUACCAGAAACCGUGCAGAGCCUGCUAACAGAUGACUCUGACAACAGAUUGUGCGCGCGCAGAUCCUGUUCGGUUUCUGCCGCGGUUAGUGCAGGUUGGCUAUUCCGAAGGGGAUAGUCGUCAGGUGUACGACGAUUGUCCCGAGUUCUUUUUUCACCUUGUUAUUUUGUAUUUCGUAUUUAACUCACUUUUGCAAUUGGACAUAUCGAACCUGAAAGGGAUCGGGUGCCAUUAAACACUAAGAAGAAGAAGAAGAAGAAGGUUUCUGCCGCCUAUAAUAAGGGUCUGUUAGCAGGCUCUGCUAAUAGAUCACUAUCCUAUUGCGGAUAUGACGGACGCUUUGCUAUCACCUUCGCUGUUGCCAAUCUGCUUGCAUAUUGUUGGACAUUCCUACAGUUCGCAGAAACCAAGGUCUCAUUACGUUGGGCAAGCGAAACGUAAGGAGUGUAGGAGAAUCUAGAUCUGAACAGUGCUUUAUAUUUGGCCGCAUUGAAACGAUACCUAAAAGAAGCAAACAAUGUAUGAAUACAUGGAGGAGUGUAGACAGCACCUGGCAUCACAGUUACAAACUUCUGCAAAUUCUGGAAAUGAAGCGAGACCUUCGGAGCAGGAUAUCGACAGUGAAUUCCUGAAAGCGUUACAAGCAACUGUUACGUCCCGACAAGUCUCCUUUUUCUUCCGGAUUCCUUUUUUUCAUUUAACCGUCAUAUGCCGAUGUCAUUGCCUUCAGACAAACUUUCUCUUUUAUGAUCCAUCCCAAAAUUCCUUUCCUAACAAUCUCUCAAAGGACCAAGGUUGCACGCUUAGUCAUCUUCCCCGACAUAGCGCCUAACUUACACUUACUUAGACUUACACACGAGAUAUAUUUUUAUAGCAUUUUAAUUAUAAGUAGAUAUUAAGCAGGUCGCGCGUCCUGGAGGCGAAGCGUGGCCAUAUCUCUUGAAUUGUUUUCUCAUAUAUCGAUAUAGUCACUCUCCAAAGCUCGGUUUAAAACGAUAUGUCUAUUGCAUAAUGUUAACGCACAGAUUAACGAUACCAAUAUUUGUAUUCCCGUUGUUUAAAAACAAGAUAAAAUCAUAUAUAAAAUACCAUAAGUAUAUAUACGUAUAAGAAUCGUUAGAACUUUCGCGAAGAUUCUGUAGGCCAAGAGCGGGGAUUUGCGCGGGAUCCUCCCUCUCUGUCCAUGCCUGUUGCAGCCGUUUUCGAGAUCUCCCAUUGGCUAAAGGAAAAUUCUGUUGGUUACGAUUUUGGUAUAAAAGGAACCAACCAAGGUUCCUGGCUCUCUUUUCUUUUCUUCUCUUCUCUUCCUGGUUCUCCACCGGCUCUCUUCACUCAUAUCGCGGUUAGAAAGAAGUACAGCAACGAGAUCUUCAAAACGGCGUCAACGCGAUCACAACUCAAGGUUCAUAUUUACUUCUCCCUCACUCUAAAUUCAUUCAACAUUAUCAAUUAAUCAACUCGAAUAAAUCCAAUAUCUUAGUAAUUAACUAUCCAAUUAGUAAUUGAAUCUCCGACUCUCACAUUCCUUUUCCGACCAUUUAAAUUAUCCUUAAAUCGCAAAACGCACACGACUUGAGUCCCUGGGGUAAAUUGCUUAAAUGCAUUGACUCCAAAAACUAAAAUAUUAACGUUACAUCCCAUAACACAACACACGAUGAAGCAAAUGCGCAGAAAGACAAUCUUCGUGAAAUGACAACCAGUUCGGUCAAACCACUAAGACGGAAGUUAAGUGGUUUAUUUAAGACGGUAGAUAAAACCAGCUCAACAGAGACAAGCUUCAAUAUUAAUAAUAUAAGACUCGCGACCUCUUACUGUAACAUGGCUAUUGUUCUAUGUAUGUAUGGCUUAAUGUACAUGGACUCAUCUACAUUAAGAAACAAAGAAGAGAGAGCUCAGAGUUAUUUGUUUAAAUGUUUAGAAUUGUUAGAAGGAAAAGAAUUGAAUCGAGGAGCUAUUUUGGUACUUAUGAGAGCAUCUGUGCAACUGAAUCGUAUUUUCCGUACGUUUAAAGACAAAAAAAAUAUUGUUCAUACUCACAUAAAGCGAUCGGUUUCUAUCUCGAAUACACAAGCCAGGGAAGCGACUUUCCAGCGCCUACCGUUUCACGCUUCUCGGUUAGUCUUGAUAUUGAAGAAAGGCAUACAAAUACAAUGUUUUCUUUGGUGACAUUGUGUUCUGAACUUUUAUAUCAUAUAAAGGAUUGCGAUAGCUGGGAUCUAGAAGCUCUUGUAAAACCUGUACAUAAUUUUUUCAUGAAUCAGUGGAUACAGACAACAUCGGAUCCUGUAAACGAAGGUUGUGCUUGGAGUUCUGCCAUAAUAGAAUUUUUUUUCCUAUUUUAUAACUCAUUUGCGCUUUAGUGAUGCUAGGAAUUAUCUCGCUGCUGUACAUUGUAUCUUAAAGAGAUAUGAAACAAGUUCUACUCUGGAUAUUUCCCGGAUACUCAUUAUGCUAGAGAGCGUCGCCAUAAUGUCGUGUACAUACUAUAAUCGGCUGCUGCUUUUUACAAAAUAUAACAAAGUUAGAGUAUGUAAAUCAACGCCUUCUGUCGAGACAAAAUCAUUAGUUUUCACGAACUUGAGUGAAGAUGUAGAACGUUAUGUCAAAGAUAUUCCUAUUAAGGUGUAAAAUGUCGAUGAUUUGAAGUUAGUUUUCAAUCAUAGUAUGAAAUGGUUUGACAUGCUCACGUCACUGUCUGUUUCACGUACAGACGCGCGAAAUGACAAAUUUGCAUGAAGAGCAACGUGUAUGACCGAAUUAGGCAAGUACUUUAUGUACUUUGAGGCAGACAAAGUCGAACAGAUGAAAUUGCAUAAACAGCGAAUGAAGAGUUUAAUAAAUGAGGAGAAUUUUCUCAGUUCUAUAGAAACAAAUCUAGUUGGUUUACUUUCUCUAAAGUGUAAUUUUGAACUAAUCAUUACUUGUGGCGCUCUUCUGGACAUGAUACUAGAGGAUGCCGAAAUCAAUGAAAAAGAAUUUGAGCAUAUAGAAAAAGAAGUGCAUACCUAUAUGCAAAUUAGUUUAGAAUAUUCUAAAAAGUAUUUAGAAGAGUUAGAUUUCCUAUUUAGCGAAAAACAAGAUUAACCAUCUUGGAAAGAAUUAUACGUUCAAAUUUUUGAGAUAUUAAGUAAAGAAGAUUAGCAAAUGAGCGCGCGUUUCACGCAGUAGACAGAGGUACAGCAACGAUCAAGGCACAGCAGCAGUCAUAUUAUUUAACUACGAAUAUAAAUACGAAAAUAUAAACGAAAUAUAAACGAGGGGAAAAACAACGCGUUACUGACAUAUUCUUUUCUAAAAUUUUCUAAUAGCUUGCUGUCAUGGGUAAAACGUUACACUUGCCUUCUUAGCGCGCGAGAACGCGCUUAUUUGUAGAUUUUCUUUAUUUACUAUAUCAAAAUUUUACAUGUUGUUUAUGAUGAAAUAAUAGAGGAUUUCAUGUUAAUCAACUAUAUCUUUAUUUAAUCAAUUUGACUUGUAUACUAAAGUUGAUACGUUUUAUUAAAGACAUACACACACACAAAGCAUAUUCACUAUAUACAUGUUAAACAAAACGACUUUUAUCGAUAGUUGCAUCGAUCGCGUGUGUACUAAGAAUAUAUAUAUAUAUAUUUUAUGUAUUAAUCAAUAUAUGGUAAUCAUAAUAUAGUUUUGAUUGAUUUAAAUUACUUAUAACUUGUUGUUUUAAUUCUCCACAUUUAUAUUUCAAUGUUUUUAUAACCAUUAGACUGAAAGAUGUGAUAUCUUCAAAUAUACGUACACCUUACUUAUAAAUAGUCGCGAUGAUAUAUCAACUGCGAGUUUGAAUUAAUGACUUUCGAAGUAUAUUUCAUUGAGGAAAUUAUUAAACUUUGAGUUUCGACAUAUAAUAUUUUUUUGUAUUAUGAACCACAUCACGUAAAGUAUUACGAUCGAUGUUUCUGAAAAUCGAUUGAUCGUUUCACAGAAACAUUGACAAAAAUAAUCGAUUGUCAGCAGAAAACGUCGAUGUUUAAAUAAUCGGAGAAUAUCGCCCAUCCCUAGAUUUCCUACCGAAGUACCGAGUCGCCCCUUUCUCUCGCGAACCGUCGAAGCGAGCACACGUGCCUGCGGAUAGUGCGAGCGAACGAUUAGAGCGGUGAAUCCACAUGGCGAAAAAUUUCACACCACCAACGGAUUUGUGCACAAAUCGACUAAGUUUUCUGAAAGUCAUAGGAAUCGCUGGAUAAGUAGAAUCUUAUUUGAGUUGAAUUUUUAUCUUUGAAUUACAAAACGUAUUAUUACCAUAUCUCACGCAUUCCACCAAAUAAAUCAAAAUUCAACACAAUCUAAGAAGCAAUAAUGGCUUACGUAAUGCAGCACCGUUUGGCAAAGCAAUAUAGAAAGAUGGAUUCACACUUAUCGAAUUUUAAGAAUUCUGAUGAUGGUGAAAACGAACGGAAUAACGUAUUGUGUCUAUUGCUCGACGAAGUUAUGGAACCAGAGCUGGAUGAAUUAGAAGUGAGAGAACGUGAUGAAAGAGUCAGAAAUAAAAAUUACUAUGAAAUCAUUGUAUAUAUAUAUUUCACUCAUUUUUUCUCUUAUGAAACGAAAGAUGUCUUGGACGAGAUCCCUAAAGUAGACGUUAGUAGGAUAUUACGAGACGACUUACAAUUACCAGUAUUAUCACAUGAAGCAGCGACUUGGCAGAAAAAAAAACUUCCUGAAGCGACAAGCCGUUCGGUGAAAAUGUUAAAUGAUGUGCAUGCAAAUAUAAUGAAGGGUUUAGAAAACCAGUACGGAAAACCGAUACAAGUUUCAACGAAGCGAACUGUUCUUAGAACAGUUGGAUGUUCUAUUUAAACUAUGCGUAAACAUACAUUGUGGAACAUGAUCCAGUUUUCAAACACGCGAUUGUAUCAAUGUUUAUUAUGACUAUAGAGAAACUACUUAUGAUCAAAAAUUCUGUUUCUUAUAACUUUGACAAGCAUGUACAGAAAUGUACAGAUAUGAUUUUCUAAUAAACCAAACAAUAGACUGUUUGAUCUUAAUAAAGGAUGCCAGUGUAGUCGAUAGAAGGAGAAGUUUUAUUAUUUCUAAUAAAUGAUUAUAGA